UUCAACCCGCCUCUCCCGAGCCCCGACAUCGCCUUCCUAGCAACGGGUUGUUAAAGGUGUCGAUCCCACGCCAACGUCAAGUCUGGUCCCGACAACUAGCAGGACCCCACUACCGCUCAAGAGAGCCAGGGAAUUACCCCGCCCCCUGGUGUACGAGAUGGAAGCCAUGCUCGACGACCUGGAGGAUGAAGAGACCCUUGCGUACCGGGCCAAAUGGGGCAAGUCGACAGUGGCAGGGUUGGGCUCUUCAUUGGGCGUCGGCCCGGCGAGGAACACCAUGGAUGCCUCCACGCACAGCCCCCGGCCAGCCCCCCUCGCGAGGGCAUGGGACAAACCUCAAUCACUGGCGGGAACGUUGAUGUUUCUCCUCCGUCUCCCGACAAGGAAAUGGAAGGAGAUCGCCAGGAAGAAGUCCACCAAGGAGGGGCAGUUCCUCUGGUGCCUCCCUUGAUCAAUGUCCAAGGAAAGACUCUCCGACAAGGGCUUCUACUGCGGGGUCAGUUCGCUUUGAAGCCACCCCAUUGAAGGGGCAGCCAUUGACCCCCCACCGGUAGUAAAUGAUGCCCGAGAAGGAGAAGUCUCUUCCCCGCAAUAGCCAGUGGGUUCUCCACUCCAAGAGGGAGAACUUCCAGAAGAGGUGGCCAAUAUUGGGAAGGAUGCUGCCAUCGAAGCCGUCAAGAUUGCUGCCGAUGAAGGGCGCAACGAGGCUCCCGGGAAUAUCCAAGAAGCGGCGGAAGAAACCAGCAAUCCUCCCGGCUGAAGAAACGAGGCUCUGGAAGCAGCUGAGGAUAAGGUGCCCCUCCGAUCAGAUGCAUCAAACUUGAGGGUGCCUCUGCUUGUCAUAGCGACACAACCCUCUCCAAGUAGCUUGGUGUUAAUCGUUGCCCAUCCAGAUCCGGCAGUCCCCAGCCCACCAACCCUGACUGGGGUGAAUUUCGAUGAGGAGAUUAGUCGUAUACUGGCUCCCUUGACCAAAGGGCUAACAAAUCAGGUGAUUCCGUCGAAUGUUCCAAGGACUUGGCUUUCCUGGAGACGGUGGAUGCCGGGCUCAAAGAUGUGCAAGAGAGGUAUGGCCAGAGGUGGCAGGCAGUUCAAGGAGAACAUAGGGCCUAGGACGUGGCCACCCAACAAUUGGAGGAGAAGGCGUAAGAGUUGCGCACUUGGAACAACAAUUGAUCCCGCGAACCCACGGAUCAGGAGGAGAAAAUGGCUGCUGCUGCUGCAGAGAGAGCAAGAACUCGUGACAACAAGCUGACGGAGCGUGAAGUGUAGCUGAACGCGAAAGCCAAAGAUCUUGCCGCUCGUGAGUAGGCCAUGGCUGACACUCUUCGCAGCAAGGACGAUGAGGUGGAAAACCUUGUUCAGCAGCGGACCAAGGAUGUGGAGGACGGCCAUACAUAAAACCAUCGAUGCGCAGACCCAGGACGCGGCAACCAAACUCAAGGAGGUCGCCGAUAACCUUGCCACAGCUUCCAAAGCUAGGACAGAGUUCGAAACCCGAGUGGGAAGGUUGGUGGAAGAGCUUGCCGGGAGCAAAAAGGAGACUGAGGCCCUUCGGGAAGAAGUGCGGAAGGCAGCCACCAUGCUAGAGGGGCUGCAAUCACAUCUUGCAUCCAAGGACCAGGAACUGACUACUGCCACUAGUACCAUUGAGGACCUGAACACCAAACUCGCCACUCUAGAGAAAAAUCUCGAGCUAGCCAAGGAUCGAGAGAGGGUCUUGACAGAAGAACUUAAUACUGCAGGGACUCUCCGGAAGGAUGAAGAGCUCAAGCUUAAGGACCAGGUUGAUCUGUACGACCUCUUGUCAAAGAGCCUGGUCAACAUAGCCGAACACAUCUCCUCCUAGAUCGUCAAGAUGAACAUGAAGAGCUAGACCUUCUCCGUCAACGAGCAUGAGGCCCCGAGCAUCAAGUUGACACACUUCUUUGAGGGCCUUAUCGAUGGAUUGAAGACAUAUGAAGAUGACAAUUCUGCCUGCUUCGCCAGAGAGUCCCGGAAGUUUUCUUGGGACGCUAUCGUCACCAUCCUCGUCAACUUUGCACAGCGUCACCCUGACAUCGAUCCCUCCGACGCCUUCAAGAAGCUACCGGCCAGGAGGGACACUUCUGCCAUCGCACAAGUUGUCGGGCCUCUGGCCGACAAGGUUCUUCGGGUGCCCCUGGUCCAAGGAGGACACCGGGAUUGAACUCCUUCAUUCCAUCCGCAGUAGCGCUGCCAAACAAAAGACACAUUUUGGCCUUAUGUUAGGUCUCACUACUUUCGGGGAUGUAAUAAUACUCUUAAGUAGUUGGAAUAACUUAUGCUA